CUCUCUCUCCCACAUUUCUUGCUUUGCUCCUCUGGUGUGUUGGGCACGGCUGAGCUCGAGACAACAGCGCAUUGUGGACCAAAGCUUGCUUCUCCAACAUGCUAGCUUGGGCUCUUCACAUCCUGGGUCAUGCAGAGUUCAGAUGGAGAAGGACCUUACAUCAGCUCUGGUGAACCACUGGCGGAAUGAUCAGCCAAUUACCAUUGAAAAUUUCCAACAGACAAUUAUGAGAAGGGAAGAGCGAGACAAAAAGCAGAAAAGAGGCCAGUCAUCAGAUAACCGCACUGUUGGAUGUGUCUCUCUCUAUCAGAGCUCACCAGUGUGGAAGACAGACUUGACUGGUUUUUCACCGCAAGAGAACUUUAAACUGGGAACAUCCUGUUUGCUGCGAACAGCAACUACAAAUGACAUAAUUACACUAAGCCAAUGCAAAUCACUCAUUGUAUUACUGUCCCUAAGAUUCCCUUGCAGUACAACAAAUUUUGCCUAAACACAGCACAAAUACUACACUUCUGUGGCUAAGAGCUGCAUAUCGUGUGUGUGUGUGUGUGUGUGUGUGUGAAUGAGUCUCUUGUACAGUAUGUCCCAGUUGCUCUCCAGCAGAAAACCAGUACUACAUACAUCUAAAUAAAGCCAUAAUGUGCUAAUUUUACCCAGCCUACAAAGAUUACGUUUUCCAAUAUGCCCAAUUAGUGCAAAACACCUGACCCUC